UGUCUAAGUAGCUCAGUUGGUAGAGCACGAUAAAACAGGUCUUGCUAAAGACCUUAACAGCAACUCUUAACACCUUUUAAGUGCGUUGUCGCGGGUUCGACUCCCGUCUUGGCAA
rnacentral:tRNA from 1 species